rnacentral:pre_miRNA from 1 species
AAAUUACUCCCUCCGUCCCAAAAUUUUUGUCUUAAAUUUGUCUAAAUACGGAUGUAUCAAGUCACGUUUUAGUAUUAAAUACAUCCGUAUCUAGACAAAGUUAAGACAAGAAUUUUGGGACGGAGGGAAUAGUUG